rnacentral:rRNA from 1 species
GUGGGGAAUUUUGCGCAAUGGGGGAAACCCUGACGCAGCAACGCCGCGUGAGUGAUGAAGGCCUUCGGGUCGUAAAGCUCUGUCAGAGGGGAAGAAGUGUGGGGUGGCUAAUAUCCAUUUCACUUGACGGUACCUUCAAAGGAAGCACCGGCUAACUCCGUGCCAGCAGCCGCGGUAAUACGGAGGGUGCGAGCGUUGUUCGGAAUUAUUGGGCGUAAAGCGCGUGUAGGCGGUUUUUUAAGUCUGAUGUGAAAGCCCUGGGCUCAACCCGGGAAGUGCAUUGGAAACUGGGAGACUUGAAUACGGGAGAGGGCAGUGGAAUUCCUGGUGUAGGAGUGAAAUCCGUAGAUAUCAGGAGGAACACCGGUGGCGAAGGCGGCCACCUGGACAGGCAUUGACGCUGAGGUGCGAAAGUGUGGGGAGCAAACAGGAUUAGAAACCCUUGUAGUCC